CUGAUAUUCAAACAAAUACUUGUUUGUGGCUACUUGGGAGACGGGGAAGGUGGGGCCUUUUCAUGUUGUGUCCUAGGCACCCCUAGACUGGGGCGUAACAUAUAUAUAAAUGGUCUGC